GGUCAGAAUUAGCUAGGUUAGCUUUCAGUCAGUUUGUAUUUAAACAUAUGCACGUAUAUCUGUGUGUGUGUGUGUCUUUGAAUAAUGAAUGGGAUGAAUAAAGAACCUGGCUUAGUCACAUUCAUUUCUUAAGCCAGCUUUUGCUGCUUUUCCUUUUUUUUUUUUAAGGUUAUUUUUAUAGGGAAGAGCUUUGUAUCAUGGAGAACCUUGCCAUGCUGAAUGUAUCUCAGCCCUGAUGCUCGAGAUGUGCAGCUCAGGCUUUUUGCAUGAGAAUUAAAUCUCUUGGCAAAAGGCAAGGUAAAGGAACAUUGAUGUUAAAGCAAGAGCAGCAGCUUGGAGCGUGGAGCCUGGCCUGUGAGUGGCAGGACUCCAGAAGACUUACCUGUAUUAAAAAUUCUCCAUUGCAGUUCAA
rnacentral:lncRNA from 12 species